AUUUCCCUGGAGAGCCCAGGUGUCUUACAGCUAGGACCUCAGAGAAAAAGAGCAGAACAUCUCUCAAAGGAAAGGCAAAUGUGACUUGGCACCUCUGUGUGUUGCUGGUUGAAAUGGAGCCCUUCCUUUCAGAGAGGUGGGAAGCACAUGCAUGUGUCGAAGAAGAGAAAGAACAGAGACUACUUGAAAAGGAAAAUGCCCUGAUGCACUAAGAAAAGAAAAAGCAGACUUUGUUCCUCAGUGCAAGAUGACCCAUCUCAGGAAGGCAGAUUAGGAAAUGACAGUGUUCUAAAUGAUGGGCAGGCCAACAAACACACCUUGAAACCAGUGGCUUCCCUCAGAUGAGUGGAGGGACACACGUGUGCAUUGUUUACACCUCCUAGUACUGAGAGGAAAGGUUUUAACCCAAGAUUUACAAUCUUGUGUAAUAGUGUCAACCUCAAGAAACAGAUGCAACAGUUAAGCCACAGUCAUAGAUGAGGGGUGGAGGAGCUGGUUCAGUCUUGGGCUCAUCUGUGAUGGUGAAGACUUCCUUCCACCAAGAACAGGUCACAGACUUCAUGACCACUGCCCCUCAUAACGUUGUGUGCUGGACCAACAGGUGUAUGAGAACAGGAUGAUCACCUUUCUGGUGGAAUGCAGAAGUGAAAUACUGCAGGAGAGGAGUGUGCCCUUCCGAAAACUUGUGAACAAAUAACGUCUCCAGAAGAUGUCUGAUGUAGUGUAAACAGUGACAGAAACAGGCCAAGCUGGAAGGGAGAGGGAGAAAAAAAAAAAAAAAAAGAAAUUAAGCACUUUCCAAAUAUGCAAAGGCAAAGCAGAGUGAGAGACCACCCUUAAUUUGUUUAAAGCAAGAUGGAUUUCUGCUCUUAUUUGGGGCAGAGUCCAUGGUUUGGAGGAGGUGUAGAAAAUCUUCAAGGUCAGAAAAACUCAGAAUAAAGAUUAAAACACAGGUCUGGUAUCAUCCCAGCAGCAUGCAGCACAGAAAGAUUCCUGAAAUGUGGCUCUUUGCCUAAUGCUGUUUCUUUAUUAUAUUUCUUUUAAUGACACUAUAGGAAAGCUCAAGAUAAGAAACAGACAUAGUCUUUCUUUUGAUCAAAACCUAAUUCUAAAUGUAUGUAGAUAAACUAACGGUGUAAAUAACACUUAAUAAAGUGAUGUGAACGCUAUCAUCAAAAUUGUUA